GCUAAGAAAAUAGAGAAAAAAGUGAGAUGAAAAUACAUUCCAGAUUACAUGGGGUGGGUUAUGGUGAGGAAACUGUGAUAGCCAGAAGCCCUGCUCUUAAAUUUGUCUUUAACUCUCUCCUUGUAUAUCUUUCUCUCUUGGAUUUUUUUUUUAUUUUUGCCAUAUAAUGAUACCAAAAAUAUAUAUAUGACCAUCUACAAAUCAUAUCUGCCAGUGCCUCUAUCUUGGACUUUUGAGCCUCAGAACUCUAAGACAAAAAUAACCUGUUGUUUAAGCCACCCAGUCUUUGGUGGUGUUAUAGUAGUCUAGACUGACUUUAAGCCAUUCUUUAAAUCACUAUUGAAACUAAGGCCUUUCCUCCUUCCAAAAGGCAAAGCGCCCCAGCCUAGAAGCUGAGCAGAAGAAGGUGAGGCCAUCCUGUUCCAGGAAAAACAGUGUCCUGUGCCCAGAGACCAUGAAGAAAUGCUUCCUGCCAAGCUCCAUUCAAAUGUAGGGCACAUGGAGGUGCACUUUCAGAAGACAGAGUUGAAUUUUUCUUGCCUGCAUUGUCUCAGACAUGUGGCCUCCUUGGUAGUGAUGAGCUGUCAGUCCUCCAAGCUGUCAGCCAAUCCUGAGCCUUUCAUCAGGGGUGGAAUAGCCCUCUGAAGAGAGGAAAUGGUUAUUUCCAACCUUUCUUCAAUACCUUGAAAUUGCUUUUACAGAUCUUCAGCUCCUCAUCAUGGCGCAUCUGGUCACUGGGUUUAGAACUUCCUGCCAUUUGCUGUGACUCCUGAUCUGCCUGACAGUAAAAAUGACUGUGAAGGGUAAAUAUUUGGAACCAGCUGAUACAGACACAGCCAUGACAGUGACUAAAGAAACUUAAGAAAAAAAAAAAAA